rnacentral:pre_miRNA from 1 species
GCUUACAGAUGAGCAAAGAAAAUGGUUUCUUGAGAUGGAAACUACUCCUGGUGAAGAUGCUGUGAA